UAAUUUAUUGUGCUUAAAUACAUAAAUAAAUUCAACUGGAACUGCCCAAGUAAUAUUUACUAGUGUUUUGUCAUCUAAUGAACUAAUGCAAAAAAAUGACGAACGCAAGUAAAACUUACUCCAAGAAGCCAGGCAAUCCAAGCGCAUGCGCAUUGAUUUCUUGGUACAGAAUCAGAUUCAGAAGUGGCGCGAAGAAGAAAGCAACGGGAACUUUUCUUGAAGACUGAUGUGAUUUUUACACGAUUGCACUCACUAUUCAAGCUCCAUGCAAGCAAAUUGAAGAUAAGAGAGAUGCUGUGAUUCGCUGCCUUCUUUCCUACCUUGGAGAGUCAUCUGAAGAACUCAUUGAAGUCUACCAGGAUGUAAGCAGAGACAUGAUUAAAGAUAACAUCACCAAUCAUGUUAUGAAGAUCAUUGUACUGGGCAACACUGCAGGCCAACAUCGCUGAUGUCAUCGUCGUCAUUGAGGGAACUGAGGUGCUGUUGGGAUGUAAGAAUCUCACAAAUGCGUGCCUUCUGCUCAUGGGCUUCAUUUACGCCCUGAACUUAAGCUAUCCACCAAAGCUGAGAAAUACAUUUGAAGUCUUUCAAAAAAUCUUUCUUGGGCUGGAUGCUUUAAAGUUUUCUCCAAAAGUUAGCUCUUUGCAUAGAAAACAGAAGCAGAGUUUUAUUUCAAUGCUGUAUGUGAGAUCAGUUAAGCAUCUUGCAUAAAAUGUUUGGUCUGUUAUGACCUACACAAAGACAUUAAAACAUCUGUGAUGGUUUAAAGAUGCUGAACAAUUUUGGUCGUAUUUUUUGGCCAAUAGCAGAUAAUCUUGAUGUGUCCAUUUCUUUUUUGUGCACUUGUUUUUCGAGAAUUUAAUUAAAAUAAAACUGUAA